UGGGGAAUAUUGCACAAUGGGCGAAAGCCUGAUGCAGCAACGCCGCGUGAGUGAUGAAGGCCUUCGGGUUGUAAAGCUCUGUCUUUUGGGACGAUAAUGACGGUACCAAAGGAGGAAGCCACGGCUAACUACGUGCCAGCAGCCGCGGUAAUACGUAGGUGGCAAGCGUUGUCCGGAUUUACUGGGCGUAAAGGAUGCGUAGGCGGAUUUUUAAGUGAGAUGUGAAAACCCUAAAGCUUAAACUUGGGGACUGCAUUUCAUACUGGAAAAUCUAGAGUGCGGGAGAGGAGAAAUGGAAUUCCUAGUGUAGCGGUGAAAUGCGUAGAGAUUAGGAAGAAACACCAGUGGCGAAGGCGAUUCUCUGGACCGUAACUGACGCUGAGGCAUGAAAAGCGUGGGUAGCAAACAGGAUUAGAUACCCUGGUAGUCCACGCCGUAAACGAUGAGUACUAGGUGUAGGAGGUAUCGACCCCUUCUGUGCCGCAGUUAACACAAUAAGUACUCCGCCUGGGAAGUACGAUCGCAAGAUUAAAAACUCAAAGGAAUUGACGGGGUCAUAGCUG
rnacentral:rRNA from 1 species